AAUUAUUCCGAAAGAGUUCUCAGAUCUGGGAGCACAAUAUUGGAAGGUGAUAAACAGUAAGACAGAUUGGUGAUGCUGAACUCCAGGUGGAACGUAGGACCAUCAUGUGGGGAUGACAAUUAGUCUUUGUGAGCCCGUGACCGACCGUGUCUUGUGUGCAUGAGGCAUGAUUCCCACAUACAGACAAAUAUCUAGCUAGUACUUCAUGCUUACAUAUAUAAUUUUGUUCUUAACAGAAUGCAGUCACGAGCGGCUUCCCCUCCACCUCACGUUUUCAGAGUACCCUUCAAUUAUCCAUUUAUUUCGCAGCUAGUCGUCGGCAGAUCAUCAAGAUCGUGAUUGGGCGAUCUAUAUCUCUGGCCUGCUGUUUAUCUUUUCGGUUUGAUGCUAUUGUGUAAGCAGAUGCUUUCGAGAAUUUGAAGCCUGCUCAUGAUAUUUUCUUAAGUUGCAUCAAAGAUUCUGAAUGUGCUCAAGUGCUGCCCAGUGAAGUAUACUGAGAGAUUCUGCAGAUUAUUGUCUUUUGAGACAUGUUUUCCAAACAAUUAUUUUUAUUGGCUUCAAACAUAGGUUGUAUUGAAUAUUCUGAUUUAAUUUUUUCAUCUCAAUAAUUUGCCAAUUUUUCUUUUUUUCACCUUACUGCUGAAUGAGUGUUUGUCAGCAUAAUUGUCCAGUGACUGAAUUGAUCAUUGUAGCUUUUCUGUGACCAAUCACUCUUAUAUUAUUGAAAUAAUUUUAUGCCUAUAUUUUCCUAGUGUAUUGUCAUUGAAGAUGCAUUAGCUGGAGUUCAAGCUGCCAAAGCUGGUCAAAUGAAGUAAAUUUUUUCAUAUUAUGUGUUUCCUGCAUUAAAAUCGAGUACAAAUAAAUGUAAACAUAUUGAGCUUGGGUUGGUUUCCCAUGUGCUUAAUCAUUGUUGGUAUACCUUGGAACCAUUAUAUUAUAUGAUUAUUUGGUAGAAAUGGUAAUCUCUUUUUGGUGCUUGUAGAUUUAUAGCCGUGACAACUACAUUGUCUGCAGAAACUUUAAAGGCUGCCAGUCCAUCACUUACCCGGAAUGAGAUAGGAAGUGUUUCACUGCAUGAUAUUCUUAGGGGUGGCUCAGAUGGCUAUAGUAUGUAGUCCUGAGAGUAUGAUGCAAAUGUCAAUUUGUACCAUUAUUAAUGUAGAAUGCUGAAGCUACAGUUAUUUCAUGUUUUAAGAACUAUAAGUAAGAUCAAUUUUCUUGUAAUUGGUGUCA